GGUUCAGCCUUGGGCCUCUCCUUUCCCGCUAAACUUCUGUUAGAAUCCAGCUGGAGAGAGAUCUCUGGGUUUCACAGUAAAUCUGCAUGGACUUCUUGCCUAGUAAGUUACACAGAAAGUGAAAGUGAUUAUCAGUGUCUGUGGCAAGACUGAAGGAACCAUGCCAGAACUUCUGAGGGAAGAGAUGGGGCUCAUCAUGUUGGUCAGGCUGCUCUCGAAC